rnacentral:rRNA from 1 species
AACGAACGCUGGCGGCAUGCCUAACACAUGCAAGUCGAACGAGACCUUCGGGUCUAGUGGCGUACGGGUGCGUAACGCGUGGGAACCUGCCCUUAGGUUCGGAAUAACUCCCCGAAAGGGGUGCUAAUACCGGAUAAUGUCUUCGGACCAAAGAUUUAUCGCCCUUGGAUGGGCCCGCGUUGGAUUAGCUAGUUGGUAGGGUAAAAGCCUACCAAGGCGACGAUCCAUAGCUGGUCUGAGAGGAUGAUCAGCCACACUGGGACUGAGACACGGCCCAGACUCCUACGGGAGGCAGCAGUGGGGAAUAUUGGACAAUGGGCGAAAGCCUGAUCCGGCAAUGCCGCGUGAGUGAUGAAGGCCUUAGGGUUGUAAAGCUCUUUUACCCGGGAUGAUAAUGACAGUACCGGGAGAAUAAGCUCCGGCUAACUCCGUG